rnacentral:misc_RNA from 1 species
GAUGAAGAACGCAGCGAAAUGCGAUAAGUAAUGUGAAUUGCAGAAUUCAGUGAAUCAUCGAAUCUUUGAACGCACAUUGCGCCCUCUGGUAUUCCGGGGGGCAUGCCUGCUCGAGCGUCAUUAUAACCACUCAAGCUCUCGCUUGGUAUUGGAGUUCGCGAUCUCGCGGCUCCUAAAAUCAGUGGCGGUGCCUGUCGGCUCUACGCGUAGUAAUACUCCUCGCGAUUGAGUCCGGUAGGUUUACUUGCCAGCAACCCCCAAUUUUUACAGGUUGACCUCGGAUCAGGUAGGGAUACCCGCUGAACUUAAGCAUAUCAAUAAGCGGAGGA